UCACAGAAACAAAACUCAUCUUUCCUCUUGUUGUUUCCGACAUUUUUUUUUAAAAAUAGAAAUGAAACCACCACUGUUCCUCUCUAACCAUCACUAAUUUCUCGUCUUUAACGCUUCUACACGGCCAUUAAUGGGAUUGGAUUUCAAGUUAACACUAUCACGCAGAUUUUGGAGAGAGGUUAAGGAUGUAAGCUUAGGAAGAACUUACGGCUAGUAGCUUAAGCAAAACUUGGUAACUUUGCUUAUCGAAUAUGUAUAUCACGGGGUUAUCUGGGUGGUUUAAUUUUCUGGCUUGACCAAUGCUUUUGAUUAUAUUUUCUUGUGUACAAGACUGUCAGCAAACUCAUUCUGGGGUUUUCCUAUGUGUAGACUGUUUAAGAAAUUCCUUCACUUUCGUCUUUAAUGCAGUACAAGCACAUGUACAUUUUCCUCUAUUGUAUGAGCUAACCAUCUCAUGUACAUCUAUUAAUGUCUUUAGAUUAAAGUUUCAUAUGUUCUAGUUCUCAACUUUAUA